rnacentral:rRNA from 1 species
CCUACGGGAGACAGCAGUGAGGAAUAUUGGUCAAUGGACGCAAGUCUGAACCAGCCAUGCCGCGUGCAGGAAGACGGCUCUAUGAGUUGUAAACUGCGUUUGUACGAGGGUAAACGCAGAUACGCGUAUCUGUCUGAAAGUAACGUACGAAUAAGGAUCGGCUAACUCCGUGCCAGCAGCCGCGGUAAUACGGAGGAUUCAAGCGUUAUCCGGAUUUAUUGGGUUUAACGGGUGCGUAGGCGGUCGGAUAAGUUAGAGGGGAAAUCCCGAGGCGCAACUUCGGAAUUGCCUCUGAUACUGUUCGGCUAGAGCGUAGUUGCGGUAGGCGGAAUGUCUGGUGUAGCGGUGAAAUGCUU